GUGGGGAUCUGGCAGGAGAAGAAGAAGAAGAUGUCGAAGAAGAUGGUCGGAGACAGUCCCGUUGAGUACUCCUUUAAGAAUAAGGAUCCUGCGAAGACACAAGCCCCUUCCUUUAGCGUCAAUUCUGUUGGUGCAGAAUUCCACCGAUGUCGAAGAAGCUAGAGUCAAGGGAAUCACGACCGCCAUUGGGACCUGCAAGGGAAGUCUAAACCGGAGUUGGGGGU
rnacentral:lncRNA from 1 species